AACGAACGCUGGCGGCAUGCCUAACACAUGCCAGUCGAACGAUGCCUUCGGGCAUAGUGGCGCACGGGUGAGUAACGCGUGGGAACCUGCCCUGUGGUACGGAAUAACUCCGGGAAACUGGAGCUAAUACCGUAUGUGUCCCCUGGGACAAAGAUUUAUCGCCACGGGAUGGGCCCGCGUAGGAUUAGCUUGUUGGUGGGGUAACGGACUACCAAGGCUACGAUCCUUUGCUGGUCUGAGAGGAUGAUCAGCCACACUGGGACUGAGACACGGCCCAGACUCCUACGGGAGGCAGCAGUGGGGAAUAUUGGACAAUGGGCGCAAGCCUGAUCCAGCAAUGCCGCGUGAGUGAUGAAGGCCUUCGGGUUGUAAAGCUCUUUCGCACGCGACGAUGAUGACGGUAGCGUGAUAAGAAGCCCCGGCUAACUUCGUG
rnacentral:rRNA from 1 species